rnacentral:rRNA from 1 species
GACGAACGCUGGCGGCGUGCUUAACACAUGCAAGUCGAACGGUAGGGCCCUUCGGGGUACACGAGUGGCGAACGGGUGAGUAACACGUGGGUGAUCUGCCCUGCACUUCGGGAUAAGCCUGGGAAACUGGGUCUAAUACCGGAUAGGACCACUGCCUGCAUGGGGGGUGGUGGAAAGCUUUUGCGGUGUGGGAUGGGCCCGCGGCCUAGUAGCUUGUUGGUGGGGGGAUGGCCUACCAAGGCGACGACGGGUAGCCGGCCUGAGAGGGUGACCGGCCACACUGGGACUGAGAUACGGCCCAGACUCCUACGGGAGGCAGCAGUGGGGAAUAUUGCACAAUGGGCGCAAGACUGAUGCAGCGACGCCGCGUGAGGGAUGACGGCCUUCGGGUUGUAAACCUCUUUCAGCACCGACGAAGCGCAAGUGACGGUAGGUGCAGAAGAAGGACCGGCCAACUACGUGCCAGCCGCCGCCGUAA